rnacentral:rRNA from 1 species
CCUACGGGUGGCUGCAGUGAGGAAUAUUGGUCAAUGGCCGAGAGGCUGAACCAGCCCAGUCGCGUGAGGGAAGACGGCCCUACGGGUUGUAAACCUCUUUUGUCGGGGAGCAAAGCGAGUCACGUGUGACUCAUUGAGAGUACCCGAAGAAAAAGCAUCGGCUAACUCCGUGCCAGCAGCCGCGGUAAUACGGAGGAUGCGAGCGUUAUCCGGAUUUAUGGGGUUUAAAGGGUGCGCAGGCGGCCUGUUAAGUCAGCGGUAAAAGCCCGGGGCUAAACCCCGGCGAGCCGUUGAAACUGGCGGGCGGGAGUUGGAGAGAAGUACGCGGAAUGCGCGGUGUAGCGGUGAAAUGCUUAGAUAUCGCGCAGAACCCCGAUUGCGAAGGCAGUGUACCGGCUCCACACUGACGCUGAGGCACGAAAGCGUGGGUAUCGAACAGGAUUAGAUACCCGAGUAGUC